rnacentral:rRNA from 1 species
UACGGGGGGGGCAAGCGUUGUUCGGAAUUACUGGGCGUAAAGGGCUCGUAGGCGGCCAACUAAGUCAGACGUGAAAUCCCUCGGCUUAACCGGGGAACUGCGUCUGAUACUGGAUGGCUUGAAUCCGGGAGAGGGAUGCGGAAUUCCAGGUGUAGCGGUGAAAUGCGUAGAUAUCAAGAGGAACACCUGAGGUGAAGACGGGUUGCUAGGCUGACACUGACGCUGAGGCGCGAAAGCCAGGGGAGCAAACGGG